CUACGUAGGGGGCGAGCGUUGUCCGGAAUGACUGGGCGUAAAGGGCGUGUAGGCGGCUUUAUAAGUCUGGAGUGAAAGUCCUGCUUUCAAGGUGGGAAUUGCUUUGGAGACUGUAGAGCUUGAGUGCGGAAGAGGUAAGUGGAAUUCCCAGUGUAGCGGUGAAAUGCGUAGAGAUUGGGAGGAACACCAGUGGCGAAGGCGACUUACUGGACUGUAACUGACGCUGAGGCGCGAAAGUGUGGGGAGCAAACAGGAGUAGAUACCCUGGUAGUCCACACUGUAAACGAUGAAUGCUAGGUGUAGGGGGUAUCGACCCCUUCUGUGCCGCAGUCAACACAAUAAGCAUUCCGCCUGGGGAGUACGGCCGCAAGGUUGAAACUCAAAGGAAUUGACGGGG
rnacentral:rRNA from 1 species